rnacentral:rRNA from 1 species
AUUGAACGCUGGCGGCAGGCCUACCACCUGCACGUCGAACGAGUGGCGGACGGGUGCGUAAUGUCUGGGAAACUGCCCGAUGGCGGGGGAUAACUACUGGAAACGGUAGCUCAUACCGCAUACCAUCGGCUUUGCCCAGAUGGGAUUCGCUAGUCGGUGGGGUAACGGCUCACCUAGGCGACGAUCCCUCGCUGGUCUGAGCGGAUGACCAGCCAGACUGGAACGGAGACACGGUCCAGACUCCUACGGGAGGCAGCAGUGGGGAAUAUUGCACAAUGGGCGCAAGCCUGAGGCAGCCAUGCCGCGGGUAUGAAGAAGGCCUUCGGGUUGUAAAGUACUUUCAGCGAGGAGGCGUUACUCGCAGAAGAAGCACCGGCUAACUCCGUGCCAGCAGCCGCGGUAAUUC